UCCGUAGGCGGGCAAUUAAGUCAGUGGUGAAAUCCUGCAGCUUAACUGUAGAACUGUCAUUGAUACUGGUUUUCUUGAAUAUAGUUGAGGUAGGCGGAAUGUGUAAUGUAGCGGUGAAAUGCUUAGAUAUUACACAGAACACCGAUUGCGAAGGCAGCUUACUAAGCUAUGAUUGACGCUGAGGUACGAAAGCGUGGGGAGCGAACAGGAUUAGAUACCCUGGUAGUCC
rnacentral:rRNA from 1 species